CCUUGUUGCAGGUGGCGGUAAUGUAGUAGAAGUAGUUUCUCGGCGUGAAAAUGGCUGUCGGUUGCGAUCAGGCUGUCCUCUGUAACAUCGUACAAAACCAACUCGCUCAUUUGGGCGAGCCGAACAUCGACAAAUUCCACCUCCUGCAUCUCAUCGAUGACUACCAGCUUUUCUCCUACGAAAAAUCACCAGCCCUUGACAAAGUUUUUAAGGAAAUCCACACACUCCUUGAAUCACCAAAACACAGAUGGUUUGGACUGCUGCUGCUGCAACGUGCUGCAUGUCAGUGCAACAAUGACAUCCAAUCAGACCAUGCCAAAUAUUGGUUGGAAAAAACAUUGUCUUUCCUCAAGCCUCACCAGCCUCUUGAGGUCAGAAUGAUGAGUUUCCACACCUUCUGUAUGCUGCUGCGACAUAUAUCUGACAAGAAGAACCUGUCCAAGUAUUUUGAUACUCCUUUCUUGAACUCCUUCAUCCACAUGUGUCUGUCAAAUAUUACCUGUUGUCCAAAUCAAUCAAUACAAAGCUUGACCUACUGUGUGGAAAAGUUCCCUCAAUCUGCUGAUCUUUUUAAGCAUCAAGUAGGUGAAGACUGGAUCAAUAAACUUUUUCUCCAGAACAUUCCUGCUAAGCAUAUUGCUCAGCUCGUGUCUAUAGUGGAGCACCGUUCCAGUGUCAAGUCCGAAUUCACCAGCAUAGAGUGGCAUGUCACCAACAUCCAUCACCUGCUUAACCUCAUCGUUGAAGAAGGAGACCCAGAUUUCCAGCCCUUGGUUUUGGACAAUGCAAUGACAACCAUGUUGACAAAUUUUUCAAAGACUAUAUCUGAGUUUGAGGAACCCAAAAGAACAACAGCUCUUAUUUAUAAAAUUAGAUUCGGAAUGGCCUGUAUUGACAAUCUGAUCAAUAAACCAGCUGUGAAAUCUUCGGAUACUUUCCGUUUUAAUAUUCUUGGAAUACUUCAACUUUUUCACCGAUUCAUUGACAUUGGCUCAAAAAAGUCAAUGCAGUCCCUCCGUAAAGAAUUGUACACCUCCUACCAACCUGUCCUAAUACAGCAAGCCACCAGUUUGCUGGCUUGUCUCAUUAAACAUAUCCGAAGUCUGUUGGCUCCAUUUACUCUCAUAGUUAAUGAUUUGUUCAGAAAAUUCCUGAACAAAGCUGUUGGCACCAAAAGUGACACAACAAUAUUAGUAUACAGGAACACAAAAGCUGAAAUAUAUUCCUGCCUUGCCUUCUAUCUACAAGUUUUGAAGAGUGCAGUCGAUAGACAGGGCUUCACAACAUUUCUCAUUAGUCAUAUACUUCGAGAUAUCAACAUUGAAGAAUCGACAAUGAAGAUGAUCAACACCAAUAAAAAAGGUCGACCAAAUCCAUUGAAAAGUCAGAACACCACAGAAGGAGAUUUAGCUGUCAAAGCUCUUACAGCCUUGCGUUGGAUAAUCCUCACUACUGGGCCAAGGAUAAAUGCAAAAUUCUUAAAUGACAUUCAGGUAUCCUUGCUGCAAUGCAUUGAGACUUCACUCCUGCAGCAGUUUCCACACCAAAUGACAGGUAAACGGCGGAAGGAGCAAUACCACUGUUUAGUGGCGCUGGGCACAGUCCGUCACGCCUACUACAGUCCGCCCAUAGCUGCCAUUAUGUCCCUGUUGAACCGAGCAUCGCAGGAAGACACUGAUUUAGAGGUUUCCAGUUAUUGCCAAGAAGCCAUGAGUAGUUUUGAGUUCAUAGCUAUUGCCUGCCGCUCUGUCAUGUUCCAGACCGUAUCGACACAGCCACAGUCCGAAACUGUGAAAAUCAGUUCCAGUCGACCAAGUAUGUGGAUGAUAGAAAACCUUGCUGAAUCGGAACCUAGACAGGCAUCUUUCAACAGCUUCCCACUACAGACGGAAUUUGGUGGAACACAACAAAAACAGACAAAUGUGAACACGGCUGUUAGUUCAGAAUCUCUCGCUUACUUGCCUACCCUCUCUCUCAGCCAGUCCAACACUGACAGCUUUAAGAAGACCAUCUCUUUUGACGAGGGAGCCAGUUCUUCUCAAGCCUCCACCUCCAUGCCACAAAUGGCAGCCCCAUCUGAAGUGAUCCACAUGGACCCAAUCUCUGCCAGGGGUGACGCUAUGGAUGAUGUUGUCAGCGAACCUCCAUCUGAGUCAAACUCUGCUGAACCUAUUAACUCAGACUCUGACAUUCAGUAUGUGGAGUGUGGUGAAGAUUCCGCAGAAGAAGAGAACAGUGCUGAAGAGGCAAGUGAAGAAACCAACGAGAUGAUGCAAGUGGACAGUAUGCUGAAGGCCUUUGUUGAAGCCCCACCAGACUCGGAUUAAAGAUUUUUUCAUUUGUUGUAUUAACAAAUCAUUUCAUUUAGUCAUCAUCACUGUUUUAGUUUAUUGCAGUUCAUCAGCUGAGUGGUGUGAGUGUGUCUUGUCAGAACGGUCUUUGUCGUUGGUGCUUUUUGUUGCGUAGGGGUUGAUUAGGGAUGGAAACCUAUAGAAGGGUAGGCAGGAUCACAACUCCUAAAACAAUACUGGGCCUAGAUUAAGGUUAGUUGGAUGUAAUAAACAAAUCCUGAAUCUGUUGUAUACAGCAGACAUCAUAGAGUAGGUAAUACUGUUUCAUUUUGGCUUUAGCUCCAGUUUAGAAAUAUUUCAUUUUUAUGGGAAAUGCCAGGUUACAAAAACAUCCAGAUCUUAAAAGGGGAAGGGUUAAAAAAAAAAUCCUUAGAUUUUAACUACCUAUAGUUUGUAACUUAUUACUUAGAAACUAAAGAGAAGGGAUUACAAAUGGGGGGAGGGUUGUUUUUGUUUUUUUAAAGAUGACUGUUCCAGGUAUGUAAAAAUUUGUUUACCCUGUCACACAAACAAGAGGAAAAUUAGUUUGAAACAUUACACAGAUGUUGACAGAGUUUUGCUCAACUCUAGAGUAAUGGUAAAUAGUAGGGAUUGGGGUUGGAGUAAUAACAGUAGGGGAUUUGGUGAAUGGAGGUGGGUGAUAGAAAAGAACACAGAAUUAAACAAAUUGUCAAACAGAAGACAUCUUUUGUAUUGAAGACAACAAUAGCCUCAGCUUUCCUGUUUGUUGAGCCUACAACACAUAACUGUUUGGAAAGAGGUUAUGGAAGUUCAUUCAUUUUCAAAAUUACCAGAAAAA
rnacentral:misc_RNA from 1 species